rnacentral:tRNA from 2 species
GGGGGUAUAGCUCAGUUGGUAGAGUGUUUGCCUAGUAUGCACAAGGCCCUGGGUUCAAUCCCCAGUACCACCA